AGGUACACUUCUUGCAUUUGUGGGUACAGGUGCAGGAGCAGUUACAGCAGUUGCUGCAGCUCCUCUUGUUUUAGGGGCUGUUGGGUUCACUGCAGGAGGAGUUGCUGCGGGUUCUUAUGCCGCCUCUUUGGUGUCAGCUGGAUCUCUAGUAGCAGGUGCUGCUGGAAUCCCUGUCACAGCUAAUGCUGUUAUAGGGACCCUAGGGGGGCUUUGGGGUUACUAUUGCUAUUGCAGUUCAUGAAUCACAGGUGCUGCUGAAAUCUCUGUCAUAUGAAGUCAUAUGCUAUGGAGGUUGCGGUGGGGACAAUUUUCGACAUUGGCAGCAAUUGGACUUCUGUCCUGCAAUGCCUGUUUAUGUAAUAAUAUAAAUAAAACUUUUCAUAAACUCACUAUUAAUGUAUUUCUACAUUUCUGGUCAAUAUUGUUAAAAUAGGUAUGUGAACUCAUUACUAAGCAAAAAAAAAAAGAAAUCAGAAAUGAAUCAGUUUUUAAAUUGCUAAUAUUAAUAAACCUUAAUAUAACAUA